rnacentral:rRNA from 1 species
UACGUAGGGGGCUAGCGUUGUCCGGAUUUAUUGGGCGUAAAGAGCGUGUAGGCGGCCUGGUAGGUCUGCUGUGAAAACUCGAGGCUCAACCUCGAGAUGUCGGCGGAAACCAUCUGGCUAGAGUCCGGAAGAGGAGAGUGGAAUUCCUGGUGUAGCGGUGAAAUGCGCAGAUAUCAGGAAGAACACCUAUGGCGAAGGCAGCUCUCUGGGACGGUACUGACGCUGAGACGCGAAAGCGUGGGGGAGCGAACAGG